rnacentral:rRNA from 1 species
AAUACCGGAUAACAACACUAGACGCAUGUCUAGAGUUUAAAAGAUGGUUCUGCUAUCACUCUUGGAUGGACCUGCGGUGCAUUAGCUAGUUGGUAAGGUAACGGCUUACCAAGGCAAUGAUGCAUAGCCGAGUUGAGAGACUGAUCGGCCACAUUGGGACUGAGACACGGCCCAAACUCCUACGGGAGGCAGCAGUAGGGAAUCUUCCACAAUGGACGCAAGUCUGAUGGAGCAACGCCGCGUGAGUGAAGAAGGGUUUCGGCUCGUAAAGCUCUGUUGGUAGUGAAGAAAGAUAGAGGUAGUAACUGGCCUUUAUUUGACGGUAAUUACCUAGAAAGUCACGGCUACCUACGUGCCAGCAGCCGCGGUAAUAUGUAGGUGGCAAGCGUUGUCCGGAUUUAUUGGGCGUAAAGCGAGUGCAGGCGGUUCAAUAAGUCUGAUGUGAAAGCCUUCGGCUCAGCCGGAGAAUUGCAUCAGAAACUGUUGAACUUGAGUGCAGAAGAGGAGAGUGGAACUCCAUGUGUAGCGGUGGAAUGCGUAGAUAUAUGGAAGAACACCAGUGGCGAAGGCGGCUCUCUGGUCUGCAACUGACGCUGAGGCUCGAAAGCAUGGGUAGCGAACAGGAUUAGAUACCCUGGUAGUCCAUGCCGUAAACGAUGAGUGCUAAGUGUUGGGAGGUUUCCGCCUCUCAGUGCUGCAGC